UACGGAGGGUGCAAGCGUUAUCCGGAUUCACUGGGUUUAAAGGGUGCGUAGGUGGAUCAAUAAGUCAGUGGUGAAAGCCCCGAGCUCAACUUGGGAAUUGCCAUUGAUACUGUAGAUCUUGAGUUCGGUUGAGGUAGGCGGAAUAUAUCAUGUAGCGGUGAAAUGCUUAGAUAUGACAUAGAACACCCAUUGCGAAGGCAGCUAACUACGCGAUAAUUGACGCUGAUGCACGAAAGCGUGGGGAUCAAACAGG
rnacentral:rRNA from 1 species